AAUCCUGUGCUGACCAGCUGGCUACCAGCUUGUCUGAAAUCCUGUACUGACCAGCUGGCCCCCAUCUUCACACAGAUCUUCAACAGAUCACUGGAGCUGUGUGAAGUCUCUUCAUGCUUCAAACGCUCCACCAUCAUCCCCAUCCCAAAGAAAUCCAAAAUUACAGGACUAAAUGACUAUAGGGAUGUGGCUUUAACGUCUGUGGCCAUUAAGUCAUUUGAAAAACUGGUGCUGGCCCAUCUGAAGGACAUUACUGGACCCUUACUGGAUCCUCUUCAGUUUGCCUACAGAGCAAACAGGUCUGUGGACGAUGCAGUAAACAUUGGACUGAAUUAUGUUCUGCAACACCUAGACAGACCAGGGACUUAUGUGAGAAUCCUGUUUGUGGACUUCAGCUCGGCCUUUAACACGAUCAUCCUAAACCUCCUCCUGCCCAAACUAACUCAGCUCUCCGUGCCCACCUCCGUCUGUCAGUGGAUCAACAGCUUCCUGACAGACAGGCAGCAGCUAGUGAGGCUGGGAAAAUACACAUCCAGCACCCGUACAAUCAGCACUGGAGCUCCCCAGGGCUGCGUUCUCUCCCCAAUGCUCUUCUGCCUGUACACUAACGAUUGCACAUCUAAGGACCCCUCUGUCAAGCUCCUGAAGUUUGCAGAUGACACCACACUCAUCGGCCUCAUUCAGGCCGGUGACGAGUCUGCUUACAGACAGAAGGUUAAAGAGCUGGCUGUCUGGUGCACUCUCAACAACCUGGAGCUUAACAUGCUCAAAACAGUGGAGAUGAUCGUGGACUUCAGGAGAAACCCCCCUGCUCUCCCCCCACUAACCAUCAUGAACAGCACUGUGACUGCAGUGGAGUCAUUCAGGUUCCCGGGCACCACUAUCUCUCAGGACCUGAAGUGGGACAUUCACAUUGACUCCAUUGUGAAAAAGGCCCAGCAGAGGUUGUACUUCCUUUGCCAGCUGAGGAAGUUUAACCUGCCACAGGAGCUGCUGAAACAGUUCUACUCAUUGAAUCCGUCCUCUGCACUUCAUUAA
ensembl:lncRNA